AACAUCGCGCACCUGCGGGAACCUGCGGAAGGAUCAUUAAUGAUUGGUGGCUGUUGCUGACUAGUGUUUCUAGUAUGUGCACGCCACACCUUCAAUCCCACUUACACCUGUGCACCCUCUGUAAUAGAUCUAUGUGGAUACGGAGAUGUGAAAGUUUGCGCUCUCCUACUCUGUUGAAGCAGUCUACUACGUUUUUUUACACACACACACACAAUAGUCAUUGAAUGUAUUUUUUAUUCU
rnacentral:misc_RNA from 1 species